AUAUAAAAAGUGGCAAUCACUGGGAAGUAGAAUGAGUUUCGUAUUCGAAAACCUUUCACCAUAAAAUCCGGGUGGUGCUUCCCAAACUAUUAAGGAUUCCAAUAGAUAUACUAAAGAGGAAGGAGAGUGAACAUGAAGCAAACUUUAAAAGGAAGAAGUGAAAAGAGGACAAAAGAGAGUUUAACAGUAGAAAGCUAAAAAGGAAACAGAGAUGGCCACUUUCAUCUCCAAGUUUCUAAAGUACACAGAAACAUCAAACAUACCUGAAUAAUUUCACUUGGUCCACUCUCUCCUUCUCUCUCUCUCUCUCUCUUGUCAUUGAGCAUCCUUUUCAAUUUCAUUGUCACUUGUUGUCAUCUUCAUACACUCCGUGAAUAUUACAACAAGUUGUCGUUUCAUCCAAACAAAUAAAACCGGUCCCAGUUUCAGAAGAUCUUUUGAACUGCCAAGCUUUCUUUUGUCUUGUUCCCCCCUCCAAGUCCUUUUUUUCCUCAUACAAAAGAGUCUAUAAAGUCUCCAUUAGUUUACAACUAGUGAAUACUACUGUACAUAUUCAAUGUAAGAUUUGUAGGUUGGGCUAAGGAGGGUUUAGCCAUUUCCUUACACACAUAUCCGCGGCUGCAUACGCUUAUACCAUAAGAAGACGAGUUGGGGCCUAUUAGAAUCUGUCCACAGAAAUACAACGCAUCCAUCAAUCAGAGCUGGAUUUAGCAAAAUAUCAAGCAUAGUUCUGAAUAAAAAAGUUCAUGAACUCACCAGGACGAAAUAUAACUCAUUUGAAAGGCUUUCUUGAAUUAAGGCCAAGUCUAUACAUGUUAUUGGAAUCAACCUGGGUAUAAGAAAAAGAAUACGACAUGUAUACUCUUUGUUGAAGCACUUUUAAGCACAUAAAGGCAAUAGACUGAGAGAACAGAAAAAAAAGAAGCUAAUAAAAUUAUGCAUGAUAAAGAAUAGAGAUUGGUUUAUUGAAGGAGAAAGCAGCCCAAAAAAAGGUUGAUGUGAAGUGAAAGUUGCUCCUACAAAGGGAUAAACACAGAGGUAUUAAUUGGUGGAGUUCCAAUCAGCUUCAAGUGUUUUGUUGUGUCUUUGUGUGUGUGUCGUGUGUGUCAGCAAACAAGACCUACCCAUCUCUCUUUCUCUAUCUCUCUCAUAUUCUUACUACUUUUCUCCACUUAUUACAAAACUCAAAAGCAUUUGUAGUGAGUCUAUUCUUUCCUUAUAUAGCAUCAACUUCUGCUCCCACUUAUGAGAUAAAAAACUAAAUUUUUAUGCUUCUUUUUUUCUUAGGCUAUAUAGCUAUUAGUCCAGAAGGUGAGAGCGAAAGAGACAAUUGAAGGGAACAAAACCAUCACCUGGAAAAUUAUAUACCCUCUUUGCCCCUCAUGGAGUCUUCCAGCGGAAAGCCAAGAUCAUCUGAUUCCUCAUGCAUCGUUUCUGCAUCCACCACUCUUCCAUUUCCAGAUUCCCCAAAGCUGAAC
rnacentral:lncRNA from 1 species